rnacentral:piRNA from 1 species
UAAGUUUUACAGUGAGUCCUAUUUCUGCUU